CAGUCGCCACGGUAAAACGGAGGGUGCAAGCGUUAAUCGGAAUUACUGGGCGUAAAGCGCACGCAGGCGGUUUGUUAAGUCAGAUGUGAAAUCCCCGAGCUUAACUUGGGAACUGCAUUUGAAACUGGCAAGCUAGAGCCUUGUAGAGGGGGGUAGAAUUCCAGGUGUAGCGGUGAAAUGCGUAGAGAUCUGGAGGAAUACCGGUGGCGAAGGCGGCCCCCUGGACAAAGACUGACGCUCAGGUGCGAAAGCGUGGGGAGCAAACAGGAUUAGAUACCCGGGUAGUCCCUGUCUCUUAUAC
rnacentral:rRNA from 1 species